UAUAGAUGGAUCCGCGCUGCAUUAGCUAGUUGGUAAGGUAACGGCUUACCAAGGCAACGAUGCAUAGCCGACCUGAGAGGGUGAUCGGCCACACUGGAACUGAGACACGGUCCAGACUCCUACGGGAGGCAGCAGUAGGGAAUCUUCCGCAAUGGGCGAAAGCCUGACGGAGCAACGCCGCGUGAGUGAUGAAGGUCUUCGGAUCGUAAAACUCUGUUAUUAGGGAAGAACAUAUGUGUAAGUAACUGUGCACAUCUUGACGGUACCUAAUCAGAAAGCCACGGCUAACUACGUGCCAGCAGCCGCGGUAAUACGUAGGUGGCAAGCGUUAUCCGGAAUUA
rnacentral:rRNA from 1 species